rnacentral:rRNA from 1 species
AUUGAACGCUGGCGGCAUGCCUUACACAUGCAAGUCGAACGGCAGCGGACCUUCGGGUGCCGGCGAGUGGCGAACGGGUGAGUAAUAUAUCGGAACGUACCUUUCAGUGGGGGAUAACGUAGCGAAAGUUACGCUAAUACCGCAUAUUCUGUGAGCAGGAAAGCAGGGGGAUCGCAAGACCUUGCGCUGAUUGAGCGGCCGAUAUCAGAUUAGCUAGUUGGUGAGGUAAAGGCUCACCAAGGCGACGAUCUGUAGCGGGUCUGAGAGGAUGAUCCGCCACACUGGAACUGAGACACGGUCCAGACUCCUACGGGAGGCAGCAGUGGGGAAUUUUGGACAAUGGGCGCAAGCCUGAUCCAGCCAUGCCGCGUGAGUGAAGAAGG